UGCCAAUCAAUGUUGAGACCAAACUUUAUACUCACGCGUGACCUCUCUAUUUCACUUUUAAACUGUCUUACUUUGCUCUCUCACUUUGCUGUCUCACUUUAAACGCGUGAACGCCCUAUUGGGUUGCUCUCUCACUUUGUUGUUCACUCUCUCACUUUGCUGUUGUUCAGAAAUGUGAUUACCUUCGAAAAUUAUAGCCAACAUCAUUCGAGCUUCAUGUUUUUUUCGUAGAUUCACAUUUUGAAGGAAAAGUUGCAGAGGUUCAAUCUGGAAUUGAAAUCGGUUAAGCUCAAGAAGAAGUUACCUCGUUAGGAUAUUGUUGAGGAUAUUGAAGCAACAAUUCAUUGCGCAGAAUGGCUUUCUAUGGUUGGUGGAUCUAGCACAGGAGAACAACGAGUGAGAAGAAGUGAAAUUGGGAGGACCAGUCUACUAUCGUUGGAUGUAUCCAAUUGAAAGAAUGUUAGGACAUUUGAAGUCCUUUGUACGAAAUAGAGCACAACCUGAAGCAUAUAUAAGUGAAAGUUAUUUAGCUGAAGAGACUCUCACUUUUUACUCAUUGUAUGAAGAAGUUGAAUCAAGGUUGAAUAGAAGUCGACGUGUUGAUGAUCGUCGUAAUGAAAGUGAACAUCUUCAAAUUAUUUAUCCUCAAAUAGGCAGAUCAGUGGGAAGUUCAUCAACUUUCACUCUUACACCAUUAGAGAAAAUACAAGCACAUCGAUAUUUGUUACUAAAUUGUUCAAAAUUUCAACCCUAUGUUGAGUAAGUAUUUAGAUAUCUUGUAUGUGGUGAAUAGUUUCCAUGAAUUCAAUUUAACAUGAUAUUCUCUUAUGGUAGUGAAUUCAAAAUAUUCACUAACAAAAAGACAAGAAAUCGAAGACUUUCAAAUGCA